AUGUUGAAUGUAGGCGUAAAAGAAGGUCAAAGCAACCGGAAACCUCAAAGCUCGCAAGACCGAGGUAAAACAACACUAUAAGCGGACUUGCGAGCUUGGAACGAACACACGAACAACUCUUUUUCGCCCUCAACGUGCUUCCGAACUAGUUUAUGCAAUGGGUCAAAAUUUUUGGUUGUUUAUGUAGUUAAAGUCUAAUUGUUAGACAUGCUCCAAAAACAUGUGAUUAUAACUUUUGUUAAAUGGUAGUUGGUUGUAUCUAGUUUUUAAAAGGUUAACUUUGUAUAAUUUGGCCGGAUUUCAAGUAAUGUAUGUUUAAAUUUGGUCGU
rnacentral:lncRNA from 1 species